rnacentral:rRNA from 1 species
CUGCGUACCUUUUGUAUAAUGGGUCAGCGACUUAUAUUCUGUAGCAAGGUUAACCGAAUAGGGGAGCCGGAGGGAAACCGAGUCUUAAUUGGGCGUUAAGUUGCAGGGUAUAGACCCGAAACCCGGUGAUCUAGCCAUGGGCAGGUUGAAGGUUGGGUAACACUAACUGGAGGACCGAACCGACUAAUGUUGAAAAAUUAGCGGAUGACCUGUGGCUGGGGGUGAAAGGCCAAUCAAACCGGGAGAUAGCUGGUUCUCCCCGAAAGCUAUUUAGGUAGCGCCUCGUGAAUUCAUCUCCGGGGGUAGAGCACUGUUUCGGCUAGGGGGCCAUCCCGGCUUACCAACCCGAUGCAAACUGCGAAUACCGGAGAAUGUUAUCACGGGAGACACACGGCGGGUGCUAACGUCCGUCGUGAAGAGGGAAACAACCCAGACCGCCAGCUAAGGUCCCAAAGUCAUGGUUAAGUGGGAAACGAUGUGGGAAGGCCCAGACAGCCAGGAUGUUGGCUUAGAAGCAGCCAUCAUUUAAAGAAAGCGUAAUAGCUCACUGGUCGAGUCGGCCUGCGCGGAAGAUGUAACGGGGCUAAACCAUGCACCGAAGCUGCGGCAGCGAACGUAUCACCCAAGACAACUUUACGGAGUUGACGAUUGACGGAGCGAAGCGACGUCAAAGCGUUCAUUAAAGUCGAGUUGGCUUAGGGAUACGUUCGUUGGGUAGGGGAGCGUUCUGUAAGCCUGUGAAGGUGUGUCGUGAGGCAUGCUGGAGGUAUCAGAAGUGCGAAUGCUGACAUAAGUAACGAUAAAGCGGGUGAAAAGCCCGCUCGCCGGAAGACCAAGGGUUCCUGUCCAACGUUAAUCGGGGCAGGGUGAGUCGACCCCUAAGGCGAGGCCGAAAGGCGUAGUCGAUGGGAAACGGGUUAAUAUUCCCGUACUUGGUGUUACUGCGAAGGGGGGACGGAGAAGGCUAUGUUGGCCGGGCGACGGUUGUCCCGGUUUAAGCGUGUAGGUGUGUGUUCCAGGUAAAUCCGGUUCACUUUAACACUGAGGCGUGACGACGAGGCACUACGGUGCUGAAGCAACAAAUGCCCUGCUUCCAGGAAAAGCCUCUAAGCAUCAGGUAACACGAAAUCGUACCCCAAACCGACACAGGUGGUCAGGUAGAGAAUACCAAGGCGCUUGAGAGAACUCGGGUGAAGGAACUAGGCAAAAUGGUGCCGUAACUUCGGGAGAAGGCACGCUGACACGUAGGUGAAGUGAUUUACUCAUGGAGCUGAAGUCAGUCGAAGAUACCAGCUGGCUGCAACUGUUUAUUAAAAACACAGCACUGUGCAAACACGAAAGUGGACGUAUACGGUGUGACGCCUGCCCGGUGCCGGAA